rnacentral:rRNA from 1 species
AAAGGCGUAGCCGAUGCACAAACGGUUGAUAUUCCGUUACCGUCUACAAUUUAAACAAAGGGACACAUACAAAGCGUUUAACCCGGGCGAUGGUUGACCCGGGCGCAAGGGACUGAAAUUAGAGUAGGGAAGUAAAUGUGGCGUAUGGCGAGAAAAGCUUUGUGUAUAGAAGUAGACGCCCGUACCGCAAACCGACACAGGUGGACAGGAAGAGAAUUCUAAGGCCAGCGGGAGAAGGGUAGUUAAGGAACUCGGCAAAUUGACUCCGUAACUUCGGAAUAAGGAGUGCUCGAAAGAGCCGCAGAGAAUAGGCCCAGGCGACUGUUUAGCAAAAACACAGGUCUCUGCCAAAUCGAAAGAUGAAGUAUAGGGGCUGACACCUGCCCGGUGCCGGAAGGUUAAGAGGAGGAGUGCAAGCUCCGAAUUGAAGCCCCGGUAAACGGCGGCCGUAACUAUAACGGUCCUAAGGUAGCGAAAUUCCUUGUCGGGUAAGUUCCGACCCGCACGAAUGGUGUAACGAUCUGGGCACUGUCUCAACUACCCACCCGGCGAAAUUGUAGUACCGGUGAAGAUGCCGGUUACCUGCGGCAAGACGGAAAGACCCCAUGGAGCUUUACUGUAGCCUGAUAUUGGGUUUCGGAAAUCUAUGUACAGGAUAGGCGGGAGACUAGGAAGUAUGAGCGUCAGCUUAUACGGAGUCGUUGUUGGGAUACCGCCCUUAGGUUUCUGGAAUUCUAACCUGCGACCGUGAAUCCGGUCGGGGGACAUUGUCAGGUGGGCAGUUUGACUGGGGCGGUCGCCUCCGAAAAGGUAACGGAGGCGCUCAAAGGUUGGCUCAGCACGGACGGAAACCGUGCCUCUGAGUGUAAACGCAAAAGCCAGCCUAACUGCGAGGAUGACGGUCCGAGCAGUAACGAAAGUUGGAGUUAGUGAUCCGGCGGUAUGUGAAUGGAAAUGCCGUCGCUCAACGGAUAAAAGCUACCCUGGGGAUAACAGGCUGAUCUCCCCCAAGAGUCCACAUCGACGGGGAGGUU